AGUGAACGCUGGCGGCAGGCCUAACACAUGCAAGUCGAGCGGCAGCGGGUCCUUCGGGAUGCCGGCGAGCGGCGGACGGGUGAGGAAUGCGUCGGAAUCUGCCUUUUUGUGGGGGAUAACGUAGGGAAACUUACGCUAAUACCGCAUACGACCUACGGGUGAAAGUGGGGGACCGCAAGGCCUCACGCAGAAAGAUGAGCCGACGUCGGAUUAGCUAGUUGGCGGGGUAAAGGCCCACCAAGGCGACGAUCCGUAGCUGGUCUGAGAGGAUGAUCAGCCACACUGGAACUGAGACACGGUCCAGACUCCUACGGGAGGCAGCAGUGGGGAAUAUUGGACAAUGGGCGCAAGCCUGAUCCAGCCAUGCCGCGUGUGUGAAGAAGGCCUUCGGGUUGUAAAGCACUUUUGUCCGGAAAGAAAUCCUGUCGGCUAAUACCCGGCGGGGAUGACGGUACCGGAAGAAUAAGCACCGGAUAACUUCGUG
rnacentral:rRNA from 1 species